rnacentral:rRNA from 1 species
CAUGGAGGGUGAGAAUCCCGUCCGGUUGAUCAGAUUCGCUUUACGAUACGCUUUCUAAGAGUCAAGUUGUUUGGGAUUGCAGCUUAAAAUGGGAGGUAAAUUUCUCCUAAGGCUAAAUAACGGCGAGAGACCGAUAGCGAACAAGUACCGUGAGGGAAAGAUGAAAAGAACUUUGAAAAGAGAGUUAAACAGUACGUGAAAUUGUUGAAAGGGAAACGAUUAAAGCCAGUCGUACCGGCGGGUAAUCAGCCUUUUGGGUGUGAUUAUGUGGAACGUGAGGAGUUUAAUCGCCUUCAUGCCUGCAUAUUCGUGCACUUUGGGUGUACUUGCCCGUAUGGUUGGUUAACAUCAAUUUUGGUGGUCAUAAAAUGACUGGAGGAAUGUAGCUUCGAUCUCGUAUUGAAGUGUUAUAGCCUUCGGUAGAUGUGAUGAUCGAGAUUGAGGAUUGCAACGGAUACCCUUCGGGGCUACCUGUCUGAUCUCUGAUCGUUGCUCUGGUGCCGAAAGCUUGCUUACGGUUAUCAAAGUCGAUGGUCAAUAGGUUAGAACGGGUUAAAUUCGUUAAGGAUGUUGACGUAAUGG